rnacentral:rRNA from 1 species
UGCUCAGGACGAACGCUGGCGGCGUGCUUAACACAUGCAAGUCGAACGAUGAUGCCCAGCUUGCUGGGCGGAUUAGUGGCGAACGGGUGAGUAAUACGUGAGUAACCUGCCCUUGACUCUGGGAUAAGCCUGGGAAACUGGGUCUAAUACUGGAUACUACCUCUUACCGCAUGGUGGGUGGUGGAAAGGGUUUUACUGGUUUUGGAUGGGCUCACGGCCUAUCAGCUUGUUGGUGGGGUAAUGGCUCACCAAGGCGACGACGGGUAGCCGGCCUGAGAGGGUGACCGGCCACACUGGGACUGAGACACGGCCCAGACUCCUACGGGAGGCAGCAGUGGGGAAUAUUGCACAAUGGGCGGAAGCCUGAUGCAGCGACGCCGCGUGAGGGAUGACGGCCUUCGGGUUGUAAACCUCUUUCAGUAGGGAAGAAGCGAGAGUGACGGUACCUGCAGAAGAAGCGCCGGCUAACUACGUGCCAGCAGCCGCGGUAAUACGUAGGGCGCAAGCGUUGUCCGGAAUUAUUGGGCGUAAAGAGCUCGUAGGCGGUUUGUCGCGUCUGCUGUGAAAGCCCGGGGCUCAACCCCGGGUCUGCAGUGGGUACGGGCAGACUAGAGUGCAGUAGGGGAGACUGGAAUUCCUGGUGUAGCGGUGAAAUGCGCAGAUAUCAGGAGGAACACCGAUGGCGAAGGCAGGUCUCUGGGCUGUUACUGACGCUGAGGAGCGAAAGCAUGGGGAGCGAACAGGAUUAGUA